rnacentral:lncRNA from 1 species
GUUCUCUCUGUGGACCUGUCUCUCCCGGCUGCAGGGGGAAGGAGCACCAGGGAGGGGGCGUGAGGGGUGGGGGUUGCUGGUGAGACAUGGACUCUGUGGGUUCCUCGAGAAGCUGAGAAGCUGUGAGCACCAGGAUGCCAUGUGCACUGGACACAGCCCAGCCUUGGCUGCCUGUGCAUGUGUUUGUGCAGGUGUGCAGGAGUGCAAGUGUGAGUGUGCUUGAAAAUGUGCGUGUGCAUAUGUGCCUUGUGUGUGUCAAUGUUUGAGUGUGUGCAUGUAUAUGCCUGUGUGUGUGCCUGUGUGUGGGUGUGAGUGUAUGUGUGCAUGUAUGUCCAUAUGUGUUUGUGUGUGGUGUGUGUGCUUGUGUGUGUGCAUGUGUGUUUAUAUGUGUGGUGUAUGUGUGCAUGUGUGUGGUGUGUGGGUGAGAGUGUAUGUGCAUCUGUGUUUAUAUGUGUGUGUGAGCGUGUAUGCAUAUGUGUUUGUGUGUGGUGAAUGUGAGCGUGUGUGUGGGUGUGUGUGUGCAUGUGUGUUACUGGUGCCAAGGGAGCCUGUACCAGAGGAAACACAGUGUUGUCCUGAAGCCAAUUCGGAAGAUAGGAAGGAAGGCCGGGUAAGUGGGGCCACAGCCUGCUGGGCCACUAAAUGAAGCCCCAAGUACCACAGCGACCUUGGUCUCUCAGCCCCAGGGAUGUGUCCUUGGGCCCUGGGGUGAGUGACGGCUGCCCUGGCCAGCAGCCUGUGCUGCUGCCUGACCUGCGGAGAGGCAUCGUCCCUGCCUGAGCGGGAGGCUGUGGGGUGGGGGUGGGAGGGGAGCAGAACUCAGCUGGAAGCCGGAGCAGUGCCAGAGCAGCUCCAGGCAAAGGCAGGUUUGCACCUGGCCAUGAAGGAGGCUCCAGAAAGGGUGGCAGGGACGGAGGGAAGGGACCCUCAGUGCUACCCCCAGCUCAGCUUGUUUGCAGUAUAUCGCUACAAAGGACCCUCACUGGCCCACCCCUCACCUCCAGGCAGCCCAGGCACACACAGGGAGGUGCUCAUCCGAGAGCGUGUGCACGGUUGUGCAGGUGUGAACAUGCCAGGGAACAUUCUCUGUGUGCUGACGCUUCACUCAAGGCCAACCUCCCUGCUGCUUCCAGAUAGGCCCAUUUCCUCUUCUCAACCUGAGAAAGCAUUUGUGUGGCACUCUGACCUUCCCCCCAAACACCUACCCACCCCACACACUCACACACAGACACCACAGAGACUGAGGGCACGCCGAGUGUGCAGGUGAAGGGUAAAGACACCCGUGAAUUCUGUUCGCAGCUAUGCUGUUUGGAACAAGGGCAUGGGGCCAUCUCCCAAGUCUGCGCUCUACAGGAGUGAAGCCAGUGGUGCUGAGGGUGCAGCCAGGAGCCAGGACCUGGGGCUGCUCCUAGCUCUCCAGAGCGCCCACAGCAUUUGUCCUUAGAGACUGGCCAAGGCCAGCAUGGCCCCUGGUUUGAUGACUGGGUGGCUGGAUUUCCCCCCAUUGCUGGGAAACCAGACUGCGGAGACACAAAACCCCGGGUAC